rnacentral:rRNA from 1 species
AGGGAAUCUUCGGCAAUGGGGGGAACCCUGACCGAGCAACGCCGCGUGAGUGAAGAAGGUUUUCGGAUCGUAAAGCUCUGUUGUUAGAGAAGAACGGUAAUGGGAGUGGAAAAUCCAUUACGUGACGGUAACUAACCAGAAAGGGACGGCUAACUACGUGCCAGCAGCCGCGGUAAUACGUAGGUCCCGAGCGUUGUCCGGAUUUAUUGGGCGUAAAGCGAGCGCAGGCGGUUUGAUAAGUCUGAAGUUAAAGGCUGUGGCUUAACCAUAGUUCGCUUUGGAAACUGUCAAACUUGAGUGCAGAAGGGGAGAGUGGAAUUCCAUGUGUAGCGGUGAAAUGCGUAGAUAUAUGGAGGAACACCGGUGGCGAAAGCGGCUCUCUGGUCUGUAACUGACGCUGAGGCUCGAAAGCGUGGGGAGCAAAC